rnacentral:miRNA from 10 species
AUACAUGAUACUGAGUUAAAUUUGAAUUUCAGAUAAAUAAGUAUUUUUAUUAAGUACAUCCCAGGCAGUAUUUGGGACAUACUUAUACUAAAAAUUAAUGGUUACUUAUCUGAAAUUCAAAUUUAACUGGGCAUCCAGUAUUUU